rnacentral:rRNA from 1 species
UUAAAUUGAAGAGUUUGAUCAUGGCUCAGAUUGAACGCUGGCGGCAGGCCUAACACAUGCAAGUCGAACGGUAACAGGAAGAAGCUUGCUUCUUUGCUGACGAGUGGCGGACGGGUGAGUAAUGUCUGGGAAACUGCCUGAUUGAGGGGGAUAACUACUGGAAACGGUAGCUAAUA